rnacentral:rRNA from 1 species
UACGUAGGGGCCGAGCGUUGUCCGGAGUUAUUGGGCGUAAAGCGCGCGCAGGCGGCUUCGCGCGCCCGCCGUGAAAGCCCCCGGCUUAACCGGGGAGAGUCGGUGGGGACGGCGGAGCUUGAGGGCGGGAGAGGUCGGUGGAAUUCCCGGUGUAGCGGUGAAAUGCGUAGAGAUCGGGAGGAACACCUGUGGCGAAGGCGGCCGACUGGGCCGGCCCUGACGCUGAGACGCGAAGGCGUGGGGAGCGAACGGG